UAGAUAGCUCAGUCAGUAGAGCGUGAGACUCCUAAUCUCCUAAUCUAAUAGGGGUCAUGGGUUCUAGUCCCACGUUGGGCAAAA